rnacentral:lncRNA from 1 species
UCUGGUAGCUGCUGAGAAGUAUCAACCGGUUCCUUUCCUUUUCCUUUUCCCUUUGCUCUAGCUGGAAUGGUUUGUGGAGGCAUGGUGAUGAAAGGUUGAGGGAAAGUGGAAUGAAUUUAGGGUUUUAGAGAGAGUGAUGAUGAGGAAAAUUAGGGUUAGCCGCUGGUUUUGGGAGCUAUGGGGACUGCUGAUAUGAAGUCUUAAGAUAGGAUGUGAUAAGAGUGGCUAAUGUGUC